rnacentral:misc_RNA from 1 species
AAGAGUAGUUUUUUACAACAACUCCAAACCCAUGUGAACUUACCUAUGUUGCCUCGGCGGGGAGACCUACCCGGUAGUUACCCUGUAGUUACCCUGUAGAGCUACCCGUCGACGGACCAUCAAACUCUGUUUUUCUAUGAAACUUCUGAGUGUUUUAACUUAAUAAAUUA